GUGGACAGCGGCGAAGGGAGAGUAAUACGUAGAAAUCUGCCCCGGAGUCUGGGAUAGCGUUGGGAAACUGGCGGUAAUACCGGAUAACGUCUUCGGACCAAAGAAUUUCGCUCUGGGAUGAGUCUACGACCUAUUAGCUGGUUGGUGAGGUAACGGCUCACCAAGGCGACGAUGGGUAGCGGGUGUGAGAGCAUGAUCCGCCUCACUGGGACUGAGACACUGCCCAGACAUCUACGGAUGGCUGCAGUCGAGAAUCUUUGUCAAUGGACGAAAGUCUGAACAAGCGACGCCGCGUGCGGGAUGAAGGCCCUCGGGUUGUAAACCGCUGUCAGAGGGGAGGAAAUUUUGACUGAACCUCAGAGGAAGGACGGGCUAAGUUCGUGCCAGCAGCCGCGGUAAGACGAACCGUCCGAACGUUAUUCGGUAUCACUGGGCUUAAAGAGUCCGUAGGCGGCCAUGUAGGUCAGAUGUGAAAUCCCACAGCUCAACUGUGGAACUGCGUUUGAAACCACAUGGCUUGAGGAAGAUAGAGGUGAGCGGAACAGAUGGUGGAGCGGUGAAAUGCGUUGAUAUCUUGAGGAACACCGGUGGCGAAAGCGGCUCACUGGGUCUCUUCUGACGCUGAGGCACGAAAGCUAAGGUAGCAAACGGGAUUAGAUACCCCGGUAGUCUUAGCUGUAAACGAUGAGCACUUGAUUGGAGGGUCCUCCAUAGCCUUCCAGUCGUAGCGAAAGUGUUAAGUGCUCCGCCUGGGGAGUAUGGUCGCAAGGCUGAAACUCAAAGAAAUUGACGGGGGCUCACACAAGCGGUGGAGGAUGUGGCUUAUUUCGAGGCUACGCGAAGAACCUUAUCCUAGUCUUGACAUGUAUGGAUUAACGCUGUGAAAGCAGGGCACGCCAUCGGGUGUAACAUACACAGUGCUGCAUGGCUGUCGUCAGCUCGUGUCGUGAUAUGUCACGUAAAUCGC
rnacentral:rRNA from 1 species